GGGGUCGACUGGUUUUGACAGCGAGGUCAACCGUUAUUUAAGCAAGUAGAGCUUUGGGGUAUAGCUCUUUAAUUCAAUACCGCAUUUUUUUAACAGGCGAAAACAAUUACGCUCUUGCUGCAUAAUUCACCAAGUGAAUUAUACUUCAUUUUCACUACUAGGUAGGAAAACGGGAUGCCUAGUAACAAACCUUGUCUAGCGGUUUGUUACAAUAUGGUAUUGAUAAAGUUAGGUAAGGAUUAGUACGGCUUCUGUGCUGGUUCAAGAUUAAUGAAGCUAAGUUUUAAGUGGGCUGUUUGUGGCCAUCUUGAUUUCGAAAACCAAUCAUAAACUAAACUUGUAGAAAGAUUAAUGUUUGCUUGUUUGGACGAGGGUUCGAAUCCCUCCGACUCCACCA
rnacentral:tmRNA from 1 species